rnacentral:rRNA from 1 species
GAGUUUGAUCUUGGCUCAGGAUGAACGCUGGCGGCGUGCCUAAUACAUGCAAGUCGAGCGAACAGACGAGGAGCUUGCUCCUCUGACGUUAGCGGCGGACGGGUGAGUAACACGUGGAUAACCUACCUAUAAGACUGGGAUAACUUCGGGAAACCGGAGCUAAUACCGAAUAAUAUAUUGAACCGCAUGGUUCAAUAGUGAAAAACGGUUUUGCUGUCACUUAUAGAUGGAUCCGCGCCGCAUUAGCUAGUUGGUAGGGUAACGGCUUACCAAGGCGACGAUGCGUAGCCGACCUGAGAGGGUGAUCGGCCACACUGGAACUGAGACACGGUCCAGACUCCUACGGGAGGCAGCAGUAGGGAAUCUUCCGCAAUGGGCGAAAGCCUGACGGAGCAACGCCGCGUGAGUGAUGAAGGUCUUCGGAUCGUAAAACUCUGUUAUUAGGGAAGAACAAAUGUGUAAGUAACUAUGCACGUCUUGACGGUACCUAAUCAGAAAGCCACGGCUAACUACGUGCCAGCACG